UUCCUACCUGGCCCCGCGCGCACACCGCGGGGCGGCCACCCCGGCCCACCUCGCGCCGAGCGCGCGUCGCCCGCGCAAGGGCAGAUCCGGAAAUGGCUGCACGGCUGGCGCUCGGUAACACGGUGGACUCGCAGGGGCGGAGGAAGGAAAGAUAUAUCUAUAAUAUCCCCCCCACCCCUUCCUCCGCGCCCGUCUCGCUUGAGAAUUACAAGUCGCUGUAUCUACCUGUUUCGAUUUAACCUGGGGGGGGGGGGUACCCCGAACUUUUAAUGAAAGACGGCCGGGGUGGUGUCAGCGCGAAUGAAUGAAAAAAUGAAGGAGGGGACAGGCGCCGUCGGAGGGGACGAAAUGGGAAAUAAAAUCGCCGAUGCGGUGACCGCCGAGCCUUACCUGGACAGAAAUCAGGGCACGAAGGGAGGGCGGCGCGACCCAACCCAUUCUGACAUGAACGCGCUGGCCACACACACACACACCCGUCAGCGCCCGAGUCUCACCGUCUCGGCAGACAAAAACCUUCGCUAACUUCACCACAUUCACGUGGUUCCCAAAAAGCGCUUCGUUCCACACCCCCCCCUCUAAAGCCCUCCACUCCCGGAGAAGGACGAGGGCUGCGGCGUUGGAUUUCUAAUGAAUCGCCGUCGACAGGGAGGCUUUUUUGUUUUUGCCCCCGUUCUCUCCUGUCUGUUGUCCCGAAUAACAGUUCAUUGUCAGUCUCUGCUCCUAGAACCCCCUGCACGCCCGCACCAUCAAAAUCUCCACACUACGCGUACCGUAGUAAGCGGCGCCGAACCCCCAGCGCAGCCAGCUCGGAAGCAGGCGCAGCUGAGCGUGGAGAAAAGAGGCUUUCUUUAUGAUCAAGGAGGGACCGAGCUGCAGAGCCAUAGCCGUACAAAGCUCGGAAGCAUCCGAAAACACCGGGUUUUCUUCCGUUCUGGUCCCUGUUUAAAAGCCCCAAAGAAACAAGCCCGGCUCCGUCGAGCCCACCGGGGACGCACCGGACCGCGGAGACGGGCGGACGCGAGUCUACCAGCCUUCUCGGCCUUUUGCCCAAGAUCAUGCGUGGAGUGUCGUGUGUGUCUCCCCCUCUGCAGCUGCCCCUGGGUCACUCCUUACUCUGCAGGGGGGUCCCAGCCUCCUCCUCCUGCUCUGGCCAGGAGGUCAGCCCUCAGCCAAGCAGGUAAAACCAGGUUUUAUUGACUGAAACACUCCACAAACCUUUUCAAGCUGCUAAAUUCUUGGGUUUGUUAUUCCUAGUGAACUGUCGGUUAAGUGGAGCAACAAGACAGAAAGAACAAAAGUGGGCUAUUGGAUAUCCAUUGCACAGAUCUG
rnacentral:lncRNA from 1 species